UACGGGGGGGGCAAGCGUUGUUCGGAAUUACUGGGCGUAAAGGGCUCGUAGGUGGCCAACUAAGUCAGACGUGAAAUCCCUCGGCUUAACCGGGGAACUGCGUCUGAUACUGGAUGGCUUGAGUUUGGGAGAGGGACGCGGAAUUCCAGGUGUAGCGGUGAAAUGCGUAGAUAUCAGGAGGAACACCGAUGGCGAAGGCAGGUCUCUGGGCAUUAACUGACGCUGAGGGGCGAAAGCAUGGGGAGCGAACAGG
rnacentral:rRNA from 1 species